GACGAACGCUGGCGGCGUGCUUAACACAUGCAAGUCGAACGGAAAGGCCCUGCUUUUGUGGGGUGCUCGAGUGGCGAAAGGGUGAGUAACACGUGAGUAACCUGCCCUUGACUUUGGGAUAACUUCAGGAAACUGGGGCUAAUACCGGAUAGGAGCUCCUGCUGCAUGGUGGGGGUUGGAAAGUUUCGGCGGUUGGGGAUGGACUCGCGGCUUAUCAGCUUGUUGGUGGGGUAGUGGCUUACCAAGGCUUUGACGGGUAGCCGGCCUGAGAGGGUGACCGGCCACAUUGGGACUGAGAUACGGCCCAGACUCCUACGGGAGGCAGCAGUGGGGAAUAUUGCACAAUGGGCGGAAGCCUGAUGCAGCAACGCCGCGUGCGGGAUGACGGCCUUCUGGUUGUAAACCGCUUUCGCCUGUGACGAAGCGUGAGUGACGGUAAUGGGUAAAGAAGCACCGGCUAACUACGUG
rnacentral:rRNA from 1 species